rnacentral:lncRNA from 1 species
GUCUACAAUAUUUUUAGUAAAAUAAAUAUUUUAAAUUUGUGUUUGUUACAAAUUGGCGCAGUCGACAGGAUACGUUAAUAAUUAGGUUACUACAAGUGUGUGUUGAAUCAUGAUCAUCAAAUUUAUGAUUCGCAAGUCUGCUGAAACUGGAACUUUCACCGUUAACCGUUAUUUGUUAGACGGAGAGGACACGUAGGGUGAAGUGGACGAAAUGUUUCAAGAUACUGAAAACCACGACGUAUUGACAGAAUCGAAUUCAGUAAUUAUAGCUAUGAAAGUCAUGAAACAAUCUAGAACUGUGGCAGUGAACUUAACUGAUGAAGAAGGUAAGCUCUACAUAAAUAAAAUAUUCACGCGAACCGGGACUCCAGUAAGGUUUGAAACAUCUCAUAAAGAAUCAGUACAACAAUUAAUAGAGUUACAACUGGCUCAAAUAAAAAAAAACAGGAUGAAACGCUGAA